CUCCAGUUAGCACAGCUGAUUGUGGACGGAGGUCACCUUCCCCGCUGCAGGAGCUGAGACAUGACUGGACUGAAGAGAAGAGGGUAUAAUCAUACUAAGGUUUCUUGAUGGGAAAAUGGCACCAAGAAUUUUAAAGAAUUUAUUAAAUAAAAGGCAAAUAUUAUGUCUGCUGAAUUAAAAUCUCUGGAGAUGAGGUCCAAGUAUCUGCCUUUAUUAAAGACU